rnacentral:rRNA from 1 species
CCCUUAGAUGUUCUGGGCCGCACGCGCGCUUCACUGACGAAGUCAGCGAGCAUGUCCUACGCCGACAGGUGCGGGGAAUCUUGUCAAACUUCGUCGUGAUGGGGAUUGAUUAUUGAAAUUCUUGAUCAUCAACGAGGAAUUCCUAGUAAGCGCAAGUCAGCAGCUUGCGUUGAUUACGUCCCUGCCCUUUGUACACACCGCCCGUCGCUACUACCGAUUGAAUGGUUUAGUGAGAUCUUCGGAUUGGCGCCACUGCGGCUCAGCAAUGGGCUCGGUGGAUGCCGAAAAGUUGAUCAAACUUGAUCAUUUAGAGGAAGUAAAAGUCGUAACA